GGUUCCCUACGGGGGGCAGCAGUGAGGAAUAUUGGUCAAUGGGCGCAAGCCUGAACCAGCCACGUCGCGUGAGGGAUGACGGUCCUAUGGAUUGUAAACCUCUUUUGUCGGGGAGCAAGGCCCGCCACGUGUGGCGGGAAGGAGCGUACCCGAAGAAAAAGCAUCGGCUAACUCCGUGCCUGCAGCCGCGGUAAUACCGGGGAUGCCAGCGUUUUCCGGGUUUAUUGGGGUUAAAGGGGGUGUAAGCGGAAGGGUAAG
rnacentral:rRNA from 1 species